UGUAGAUUUGAGGGAAAGAUUAAAAACAAGGAGGUCUGGGAAUGACUGAAGGGAACUGACAGCAGUGAGGGAAGGAAGUUAUCACCAGAAUCUCAGAGAAGGAUGUUGACAGUGCAGGUCCAGGAUGAAGAAGAGGAGGAAGAACACGUUUAACAAUUUUCUCAUAAGCUUGCCAUGUGUUAUAAUAAAAACAAUGAACAUGGCUACAAUAAUAAUAUGCUAAAUGUUAUUAAAAGAUUGCAGUUUGCAAGAAGUCUGAGUGUCUGACUCUACACUAGAGGAACUCUUUUCUGAAGAAGAUCAGGUGCUGAGAAGAAGCCUUGUUCUACAGCACAACACUGCAAGCCUCCUGUCCUUCCCUCAGAAGAGCCUGUCUUCUGCUGCUGGGGUAAGAAACACCCUCUUCCUCUUCUCUAUCAGCUGUCCAGCACCUAACUCUGCCUCCUCAGCACUGUCUGAAAGAGUCUUCUCCACAGUCAGUAAUCACAGAUCACAGAUUCUUCUGAGAAAGUCGAUAUGCUCAUUUUCUUAAAAAAAAAUAGUUUUUUCGGGUGGGACAAAUAAUACAGGAGAGAUGCUAGAAAUCUCUAUAUUGUUCAUUUUUCAUAUCUUUACGCUUUAUGAAUGUUUUUCUUCUGAGAAGCUCAAAAAUUAUGGUUCUUUGGUAAUUGCUUUAUUGUUUAGUUUUAUCCUCUGAUAGUGAGCACAGAGCCCUGAUCAUGACAUGCAAGAAAAAGAAAGAAAUCAUGUCCAUGAUUUACUAAUUCGUUCCCUCUAUGUACUAAACGUGCACGAUUACUUUUACAUUUCAUUGAUUUGCUAAAUCGUAUGCACAAUUUACUAAUUCGUUCUCUUGAUGUAUAAAUAGUGUACACGUUUUAGCAAAUCGAGGGAAUGAAAUAGAAAAUCGUGCGCAUGAAUUAGCCUAAAUUUUUUCCUGCAUGUCGUGUAAUUAAAGCACAUCACCAUCAGACAUUUAUACCAGGAGCCUCAUAUAUGACGCUCACAGUUUUACUUUGUGCAGUAUCUCGGUGCAGUAUCUGCUGAAUUGUUUCAUAUCUAUUUAUCAUGUAUUUUUUGUUGCACUAAAUUAUGUUGUAUCAAUAAGUUUACUGAUAAUUAUUUUUAAUUUUUACUAAUAACGUCAUUAACCAUCUCCCCAUCUUUAAGACAAAAAUUUUCUAUUGUUUAUAUUGUGUAAUCUAUGAAUUGAUGUGUUUAGUUUUCUGUGCUCAUAACUUAGUAACAUUUUGCAUGUUUAAAGAACAGGUGCGAUGUUCAAAAUGUUUUGGCUUCGUAUUUGUACAAAGUAGUGCUGAAUAAAUAUUGAUUUGUGAAUGAAA